UGGGGAAUUUUGGACAAUGGGCGAAAGCCUGAUCCAGCAAUGCCGCGUGUGUGAAGAAGGCCUUCGGGUUGUAAAGCACUUUUGUCCGGAAAGAAAUCCUUGGCUCUAAUACAGUCGGGGGAUGACGGUACCGGAAGAAUAAGCACCGGCUAACUACGUGCCAGCAGCCGCGGUAAUACGUAGGGCGCAAGCGUUAAUCGGAAUUACUGGGCGUAAAGCGUGCGCAGGCGGUUUGCUAAGACCGAUGUGAAAUCCCCGGGCUCAACCUGGGAACUGCAUUGGUGACUGGCAGGCUAGAGUAUGGCAGAGGGGGGUAGAAUUCCACGUGUAGCAGUGAAAUGCGUAGAGAUGUGGAGGAAUACCGAUGGCGAAGGCAGCCCCCUGGGCCAAUACUGACGCUCAUGCACGAAAGCGUGGGGAGCAAACAGGAUUAGAUACCCUGGUAGUCCACGCCCUAAAACGAUGUCAACUAGUUGUUGGGGAUUCAUUUCCUUAGUAACGUAGCUAACGCGUGAAGUUGACCGCCUGGGGAGUACGGUCGCAAGAUUAAAACUCAAAUGAAUUGACGGGGUCAUAGCUGUUUCCU
rnacentral:rRNA from 1 species